rnacentral:rRNA from 1 species
AUUGAACGCUGGCUGCAGGCCUAACACAUGCAAGUCGAGCGAGUGGCGGACGGGUGAGUAGUGUCGGGGAAACUUCCUGAUGUAGAGGGAUACCUACUGGAAACGGUAGCUAAAACCGCAUACCAUCGGAUGUGCCCAGAUGGGAUUAGCUAGGAGGUGGGGUAACGGCUCACCUAGGCGACGAUCCCUAGCUGGUCUGAGAGGCUGACCAGCCACACUGGAACUGAGUCACGGUCCAGACUCCUACGGGAGGCAGCAGUGGGGACUAUUGCACAAUGGGCGCAAGCGUGAUGCAGCCAUGCCGCGUGUAUGAAGAAGGCCUUCGGGUUGUAAAGUACUUUCAGCGGGGAGGCGUUACCCGCAGAAGAAGCACCGGCUAACUCCGUGCCAGCAGCCGCGGUAAUAC